CCUACGGGCGGCAGCAGUGGGGAAUAUUGCACAAUGGGGGAAACCCUGAUGCAGCGACGCCGCGUGAGUGAAGAAGUAAUUCGUUAUGUAAAGCUCUAUCAGCAGGGAAGAAAAUGACGGUACCUGAGUAAGAAGCCCCGGCUAACUACGUGCCAGCAGCCGCGGUAAGACGUAGGGGGCAAGCGUUAUACGGAUUUACUGGGUGUAAAGGGAGCGUAGACGGAAGGGCAAGUCUGGAGUGAAAGGCGGGGGCUCAACCCCCGGACUGCUCUGGAAACUGUACGGCUGGAGUGCAGGAGAGGUAAGUGGAAUUCCUAGUGUAGCGGUGAAAUGCUUAGAUAUUAGGAGGAACACCAGUGGCGAAGGCGGCUUACUGGACUGUAACUGACGUUGAGGCUCGAAAGCGUGGGGAGCAAACAGGAUUAGAUACCCCAGUAGUC
rnacentral:rRNA from 1 species